rnacentral:rRNA from 1 species
GAUGAACGCUGGCGGCGUGCCUAAUACAUGCAAGUCGAGCGAACAGACGAGGAGCUUGCUCCUCUGACGUUAGCGGCGGACGGGUGAGUAACACGUGGAUAACCUACCUAUAAGACUGGGCUAACUUCGGGAAACCGGCGCUAAUACCGGAUAAUAUAUUGAACCGCAUGGUUCAAUAGUGAAAGACGGUUUUGCUGUCACUUAUAGAUGGAUCUGCGCCGCAUUAGCUAGUUGGUAAGGUAACGGCUUACCAAGGCGACGAUGCGUAGCCGACCUGAGAGGGUGAUCGGCCACACUGGAACUGAGACACGGUCCAGACUCCUACGGGAGGCAGCAGUAGGGAAUCUUCCGCAAUGGGCGAAAGCCUGACGGAGCAACGCCGCGUGAGUGAUGAAGGUCUUCGGAUCGUAAAACUCUGUUAUUAGGGAAGAACAAAUGUGUAAGUAACUAUGCACGUCUUGACGGUACCUAAUCAGAAAGCCACGGCUAACUACGUG